GCCUGGGUGGCUCAGUGGGUUGAGUGUCUGACUUCGGCUCAGGUCAUGAUCUCCCAGUUCCUGAGUUCAAGCUCUGUUUCAGGCU
rfam:Felis catus isolate Cinnamon breed Abyssinian chromosome C2, whole genome shotgun sequence.